rnacentral:misc_RNA from 1 species
AAAUACAAAGCACGCGGUUUCCAGCUCAAAACCUGAAAAGGGAUCACAGUAAUAGAAUCGUCUCCAGUCUUUCCUGGAGGCAAUAAAUCAUAGUCGAUAAUCUCCUCUUUCACCGAUUGGAGCUGCCUUGGUAUCUGCCUAGCUCCAGAUAAAUCCUGAGAGAUGAGAUUGGAAACAAAAAGACCGGCGAGGAAGAAGGAGGAAGAGAGAAAGACAACAGUCAACCCUAGCUUAGGGCUGAACCUCCAUUUUCCUUUACUGGUUUUGGGUUUCAUUGGUGUCGGUGGGAGGGAGGAGAGGAAGAAGGAGAAGCCAAAUGGGAGAUCGCACGAGUAGAGCGGGAAUUUUAUGAGAUACUGAAGC